ensembl:lncRNA
AGAGCAGCUUACUAGCGGUCCCAUCCAGCUGAUAGCGGAGCAAACCUUCCUGAGUUCAGUUUGCCCUGUGCGCACGGAGAGCUCAGGGAGCUCCAGCAUCCCGCGGAGACGCACCAGAGAACCUGAAGCGUCUGCGUCCUGAUCCGGGCCCGGAGGAGCGCAGCGGGGCGGCAGCGUCUGCAGACUCCGAUGAACGCACAACAGUCAGUUGGGGAGCAAUCUUUGAGUAAGACUUCAGCGCUGAUACCGAGAUGAAGGCGGCCAGCAGACAGGGCAACAUGACCGUGGAGAAGCUGAACGGGGACAUGAACCGGAGGCCGAGCUACCCCGGAGAGCUUCGGGCCAAACACGCUAACAUGUCAACUAAGAUCUGGGUGAAAGUGGCGAUGGCGAUCGCCUAUUUCCUCUGCGUGUCCGUGGCCGCGUUCAUCCUGGUCAUUUACUACGUGUUCUUCUGGACGCCGGGCAAAGCGGACAACAUCACCGCGACACCGAACCAGAACCCGAACCAGAACGUGUGCCUGGCGAAGCCUUGAUGACUUUUACAGCACGCACGCACGCAUUAAAUAAGUGACUGCACACACCUGACACAACGCUGCGGCGGCGGAUGGAUGGAUGGAUGGAUGAGAGAUGACGGCACACAGACAGACAUGACUGCAUCCAGAGUUUGGGAUGCUGACUGAGGACCUGAGGGAGGACAGAGGGGGGGCAGGUGCUGCCGGGAUGCAUCAGUGUUCCGCAUGCAGGAUGCAGGUGGAGAGGAGGAGGAGGAGGGGGUUUUUCUUUCCAGCUUCACCCCAACACCCAGUCCUGAGGGGGUUUAUGGUUUUUUGUUUUUCAUUUCACUGAACUCGUCUGUCCAAUGAGAGAAAGCCUUAGGAACACACACCUGGCAUCUUUUAGGGCUGCUUCCCUCUGAUUUGUGGCUGUGUGCCUGUAAAUGUUGGUUAUUCUGAGAGUCAUGCUUACAUCCUUUAAAUCAUGGAUGGAUUAGGUGAAGCAGGACUCCUGGGUGCAGACAUGUAAAAGGUCCCGCACUCCUCUGGGACUCCCCGUGAGGUGUCGCAGGUAAACGAGUGCUGCAGUUAAAUUUCAGUAAUCACUUCUCAGGCUGAGUCCUGACCACUGAGAGCAGAUAUCACACUACAAAAUGACAGAUUGAAGAAGGUCCUGCAUCUGAAUGCCGCAUCCUCAGCAGAGGUCACAUUAUUUCUUUAUCGAACGCUGUCUGCUGAAGCUUUUAAUGUUCCAGGACCUGGUGAUUUUUCUCUCUUAUGUGACUCUUCAUUGAAUGUGUUUGAGUUUUAGGUGGAUGACGGGAAAAACCCUCUGGGUUCUGAGAGCAUACAGUAUGUUGCAUGCUUUCAUUUCUUCCAUCAUAUUCUAAGCAAAACAAAUAACAGAAAAAUUAAGUCUCUAGAUCACUCGUUAUGAUGUGCAGCUAACCAGAAACAGGGAUUCUUUUUCUGCUGCUCCUUCUAUAAGUGAGAUCACAGAUGCUACUUCUUUAGAUUACCCACCAUACAUUCAGACCAUUCAGUCUGAGAUUUCGGUGUCUUUUUCACACUUGUCCUAGCCUCUUAGUGUAAAUCUAACCAAUGUCUGUGCCCAGUUGGUCGCUCAUUAGUCCAUCCGUGCUUUAACUCUUUCACGUUCCUGUGAAAAUUGGACCUCUCCUGCUCACUUCCAGCUCUGUAUUUUACACUCUGGCAACCUGCUAGAGUAGCUUUGCAUGAUCAGCAGUUCAAAAUAAUCUUUAUUUUUCCCACAUGGCCUUGUUGAAGCCCCUCAGCUCAUCAAUUCUCUUCUAAUUGGCUGCCCAAUGCAAACAGCAGGUGGAUGGGACCUGUACCUGAGAGCUCUCUCUCGCUCUCUAUGACAUCACAAAGAGCUGAGGGGGAAAAAACCGCCUGAACAUGCACUGACCUCCUUAUUUGAAACUUUGUCCGUGUUAAAUAUGAGCAUCCAGCACUGGAACAGGAGAUAUAUGCCAAAAAACCAGGAAAACCAUAAGAGGUCCCCUUUGAAAAUUCACUUUAUACACCAAUGCUCCACCUUAUGGAAGCUUAGAAACCAUGAGUGUGCCCUGAUCCUUUAAACAUCCUGGAGAACAUCCCAGCAGACCCCUCAACCCCCGAAGCUGAUCCCCGAGAAACCUCAUUAGAAAACCCCACCAAAGAACUCUUAAACCCCCCACAAGAGUGCUUGAGCCCUAAACCCCAGCCUACAAACCCCUUCAGGAACCCCUGCAACUCCUCAAGGACCCUGCUCUGCACUAAUGGAGACUUCUUUUUUUUCAUGCCUAUAGAGGACUUUCUGGUUUUUCUCUUUUUUCACAGCAGAAUGCUGUUUUUAUUCAGGUAUCUAGAGGAACUUAAAGCGAUACUGUACUGUAGCAGAAGUAGCCUAAAUUGUGAUCUUCGGUAGCUCGUAGCCGUACGAAAUGCAAGGUGAUCACUCUCAGUAGUUGCAGCAGUUUUACCUUUUUAGAGCCAUCUUUGUUGUCUUGCACAGAAUGACCGUUAAUUCUCAAUGCAGUGUCACGUUUGUACCUCUUCUUCUCGAUGACACGUUUUGUUCACCUCACUUCCUUCUUCAGAAUUUAGGCUAAAUCUACUAGACUGUUUUAUUAACAAUGUAGCCUUGAGAAUUUAUUGUUAUGAUAUGAUAAACUAUGCAUUUAUUCCAGUGUGGGUGUGUUGUCUUUCUGUCAGCAGUUGAGCAAAAACAGGCGACGGGGCGGGCAGCUUGGUGUCGUCCUGUGCUGAAAUAACGCAGGGACAUUUUACUGAAAAGGCCAAGCUGACGUCAGGGGAGUGCUGGCCUGCAUCUGAAACAACACAGCCUCCACUUUCACUAUAAAUCAGAGCCGUUAGAUACUCCAGAUUACCUGGAAAUAACACUUGUGUGAGGACAUCUGGCCUCUUCAGUGUGAAAGCUGCUUGGCCCUCUCCUCACUGACCUUUCUCAUGUUUAUCUAAGUAGAGUGCUUUGGUAACCGAAGACUGUCGGUGGAUGCUUCUCUGAUGAUUAAAAAGGUUGUCACAGAACAGGAGCAGG